GGGGCCGACCUGGCUUCGACGUGGGUACGGAGUCGGUUCAGGGCAUGCCGAGCACCAGUUCGCUCGUAAAACCACUGGAAACAAAGUAACUGCGAACGAUACUUCGUACGCCCUCGCCGCUUAAAAACCGGUGAGCUUCGCAACGGUUCGCCGAUGGGCCGGGCCUGAUGCCGCAAGGCAAAGGGCUGCGAAGUCAUACACAUUGGCUGGUGCCCUGCUGCGUCAUUCAGCAGGGGACGAGAACCAAGUGACUGGUGGGCCCGAUAGCGUGCUGCUGCGCGAUCAGGCUCAUGAGACUCAAAUCAGACAGCUAAGCAUGUAGAACUGGCCGGUGAUGGCUUGCGGACGGGGGUUCGAUUCCCCCCGGCUCCACCA
rfam:Burkholderiales bacterium RIFCSPHIGHO2_12_FTLL_69_20 rifcsphigho2_12_scaffold_1394, whole genome shotgun sequence.